AAGUAUUCCUACUUGGAUGUUAAAGAAUAUGCUCCCCUUAACUAUGGGCUCUUCUCUGUUCUAGGCAAUGAGAACAUUGCACAAGAGAGUCCCUGAUAUCCCAGAGCUUACUGCCUAAGAGAGGAUACAUCCUUCAAACUAAUAGUCUGCCAAUAGCAAGAUCCAAUAGCUUCAUGGAUAUUGAAAGAAACUGAGAAUCACAUUUGCAUACUUCUGAGUCACUUGGAAACAAAAAACAAGUACAGUCUUGGAUUCUGAGGGAACAAACAUUAAAAAUCACAUUAGGAAGAGAAUUCAUAAUGUAGGAACUCAUCCUGGAAUAUUCUUCAGCAAAAUACAGACAAUAAUAAUAAUACUCCAUGAAGCUACCAUGGAUAUUGAAUGAAUUAAUGAAUCUAAAACCCUCAAAACCUUGCCUGGCCCAGAGUAAGUACUCUGUGUCUAGUUUACCUAUUAAUACUGUAUUAUUAUUGUCCUCUAUCUCACAAUCUUCUUCCCAAGAGCCAUCUCAGGAUUUUCCCACCAUUCAUUAGAGACCAAGUGGUCUCUGCAAAUGCCCAGGCUCCUGAUUCCUAGUUUUAUAUGGACUGCAAAGCGGCUCCUCGUGCUGUUUUUAAGUUCCUUGACCUCCAUAAGCUCUUUUUAGUGAUGCUCAGAAGCUGGAACGGUUGAGUUUCAGAUAUAGAUUGGAGAGCUUCCUUACUAACUCCAAUAAAAUAGCUCAGAGUUUGGCUCUCACUUUUAAAUACUAUGCAGAUGGCGCUGAACCCCAGCCAAACUGGCGGCAACUUGAUUUCCUCUGGUGAGUGCUGGUGGGGUGUCUACAGGAUGGCAUUCAUUCCCAUCUCCCGUCCCUUCUUUCUCCUCUCUCUCCUCUCUCUCAUACACACACACACACUCAUACUAGCAUUCUGUAUUUUUCCUUCUAGCCUGAGUAUUUUUUAUAAUGACAUGACCAGCAAUAAUUAAUAAAAUCAUUGGUUUCCUGCC